AGCAUUCUUGCAAGCUUCUCUUCUUAGCUUCUCUUAGCUUUGUUGUGGCAAUAUUUCGGGGAAGGCUGACUUAGCACAUCGCAGGGGCGGAUUGUGACUAAGGCCGCACGGAAGAUAGCUAGGGAGUUAUCCGGUCCGUGACAGUUGGUAUCAGAUCAACGCUACGAAAGGGUUCGUGGGUUAGCUGGGCACAUUCAUGACAUGGCUAGCGGCGGUGAGGAGCAAGUUUGCAAGGGUCACGAGGAGGAGCGCACCGUUCCACCACCACACAAGGGAGGUAAAUCUCGUGACUAUCUUGCUAGUUUUUAUGCUCGGUUAGCUAAACUUGAGAUAGCUAUGGCGGAUACAAAAGAGAGGUUGGAUCGCACAGAGCAAACAGUAGAAGAGUACGUCGAGA
rnacentral:lncRNA from 1 species